GGGGCUAUAACUCAGCGGGAGAGUGCUACACUGGCAGUGUAGAAGUCGAGGGUUCAAAUCCCUUUAGCUCCACCA
rnacentral:tRNA from 1 species